AAUGAAGGGAAGUAAUAAAAAACACUUCCGGGUUAGGAGCACCCAACAAAUUUGAAAUAUAACGUGUCGUGAAGUGUAUUCUGUAUUUACGAGUUGCAAAACUAACACUGGCACGUACGAUAAAUGGUUUAAAAGUUUGAAAUUAUUUUCGCGAUGACAGACGAAAAAAACAUCUAGUUAACAAUGCUAUCUGUCACUUUGCUUAACUUUUUUUCCUCAACUCCUUUCACGAACUUUUUUAAUGUGUUUAUGUCAACAUAGGUGUAUGUGUAGGCGCGCAACCGGUCGGAUUAUGUUUUCCUGACGGAGCCAUCGUUUUGACAGAUUUGGCGUUUUAUCAACUCGUUGCUCAUGUUCAACCACGUUUUAAAAAACGUCCUGCCUAGGUAUGCAUUCCGAUAUACACCCAAUGUUUGGCAACAUUCAAGAGGACGCUGCGAUCCAUCAGACAAUUUGGAUUAUGCAAGGACUUUGUUGGAUAUCUUUGUGGACAGACACUUUAUCUCACCUGGACACAGAAACGUGGAGCUGUUUAAGCGUGGGACCAUUUGCAGCUACGGGCCACUGGGCACCGAGCUCAGGGAGAAUGUGCUGCACCAGUGGUGGCGUUCGAUGUCUGGAUCCAAAGAUCAGGUGUUCGGCAUAAACACGCCGACGAGCAGCGGCAGUCAGAAUGCAACUGGGGGAGGAUGGGGACACCUGAGGGUCACAGAAUCUGAUGAUAUCCAGAAAAUACUGAAGGAGACAGAGCUGAGUAGGGAACAGCUCGUCCAGAAUCUCCACAUGCUUCUGCAGACAUCACCUUUGCUGAGAACCAGCCUUUUUCACGGAUCUUUGGAGCAGUUCGUCCCCAUAUUUGAAUUGGUGAACAGGAAGCUCCCAUUUGGCAUCGCUGAGACUGGUACAUGUUUCCAGCCCUCAAAAGAAGGCAAUGGCUGCCCAGCAGAAGUCACAGAGGCAUCUCUUGUCUGGUUCUGCUCCCCUCGAACCUCUUCGCAAUGGAUGGACCACUGGGCUCGACAGAGGCUCAAGUGGUGGAGAAAGUUCGCCCUCGCUCCGUCAGACUUCAGCAGCAGUGACGUCCCUCAGAGUGAACUAGAGAGGGCGGCAUCGCGCGGUGUGAAGAUCUUCUACAGGUUCCCUUGGGGUCAAGAGCCCCUGGAAGUUCUGUGGAGCCGAGGAGACGGUGAACUCCUGCAGAUGCACAAAGGAAUCCGCUCCAAACUCCAGAGUCGAGAUGGGCGCAAGUCUAUCCCACACGUAGUUUCAACUACGGGGAACAUCGAUCGUGGUUUGUUGGCCUUUUUGUACAACUCGCUGCAGCUGCACAAUAGAGAAGACACCAAACAGAAGCUACAGCAGAGAAAGGUCCUGAAAUUGCAUCCACUGUUGGCCCCAGUCAAAGUGGCUUUAGGUAUCGGCAGAGGAGCCACCAUGGAGCUGAGGCAGGUUUGUGAUGGCCUGCUGCACGAUUUAAAGGAGGCCAAAAUCUCUGCUUGGCCCGGAUAUCUUGAAUCAUCAUCCAUGCCAAUGGAACAGCUCAACUCCAAGUAAAAAGUUGAUUUAAAAAAAGAAAUAAAUGCACGACUCAUACAAAGUUAGGGAUAUUCAGCUUCCGUGUUAAAUUUCAGGAUCAAACUAAAAUGCACCAUAACGUAACUGGUGAACUUGAUGUAACCUUAAUUUUCUUUUUUUUAUAAUAAUUUUAAAAAUGUUUUCCUGUUGGGUAUUCAGCCAGUUUGCUAGUCUCUAACAAGGAGCUUAAUGGCAAAAUCCACAACAGUUGUUUUGGUCCUUGGAAAUGUGUUGGCAAAGUACACAUGUCCAAGGACAUCCAUCUCCGUGCCUUUCUGUGACUCCUCCAGUUUUUUUUUUACAACCUGCUGAUGACAAUCUGUGAUCCACCAAGUUCACUGGCUACUUGGCUACUUCCACCUGAGGACAUCCUGUUUAAAGCUUUACAAUGAUGUGGUACUGUUGAUCAAUUGUUAGGUGUCCUCUCGCUCUGAAGACAUCAAAAGGGGAACAGCACAAUGAACACAAACUGUUUGAUAUCUAUUCAUAUCAAACCUGGAAAUGUACUGGGAUAAAACAACUGUUGUAAAUUCUUGAUAGAGACGAUAUUGAAGACAAUUUUCCUGUGUGCCGAGUCAUUUCUUUAACUUUGUCCAAGAAAAUCUCUGACAAUUCUGCUUCUCAGAUUUUUGUUGGAACACUGCAACAAAAAGUACGAAACCACUGAACAGCUGGACAUGCUCGUUGAAAAGUGCAUACAGGAUUUAAAGGUUGUUGUGCAUUUUAGGUUCAUCUAGAAAUUUCACCUGAAAAAACACUAUCCGUAGCUUUUUGUAUGACGAGAUGGGUGUGCUUUUUACUGCGGUGA